GUUCAGGUCUGUGUAAUCCCGAGAAGAAAAUGUUGGAACUCCAUGCAAACGAUGUCUGCUCAAAGAGUCCAACUCUACCAUCAGAAGAUGAUUGAUGGUCUUGAUCGAUCAACUGGAAGUCACAUGUGCAUUUUGUAAGCCAGUCAUUCAUGAGAUAUAUAGAUAUAAGAAGUAUAAUAUUGAUGUUGCACAAAACUUAAAUAGAGUGACAUUGAUACUGAUAGAUGAUUCAUAUAGCCGAAUUCAACUUGCUCGGGAUUGAGACAUAGUUGUUGUUGUACCAUUGUUGC
rnacentral:misc_RNA from 1 species